AAGUCGUAACAAGGUUUCCGUAGGCGAACCUGCGGAAGAAUCAUUAACACGUAUCCAAACGUAAAAAAAUUGAUUCAGAGAUCUCUGGCUACGUGAGAACAUUGGAACAGUUACAAUCGAGCGGUAGUUUCAUAGGCAUUGUUUCCCCAAGCAGUUAGUGUCUGAAAGAGUCACUGAUUGUGCAAGGAUAGCGCUUCAACGAUUCCUGUAGACCGUACACUCGGGCAGGAGCUAUGCCAAAGGGUCCCCAUGCCCCCUUAUAACCCCACAGUUUAAUGUGAAGCUCAAUGGGUAAAAAAACCGAACAACUGUUAAACGAUGAAGAACGCAGC
rnacentral:misc_RNA from 1 species